GGAGCAACAGAAACUGCACCGUCGUCGCCUACCGUCACUGAACGCUACAUUGGACAGUGUCGGUAGUUUGAAGUGGAACGAAGGAAGAGGAAGAGGAAGAAGUAGGAGGAGAUAGAGGAAAUCGUUGGAAAGGAAGACUAAUUAAUUUUGUAGCUGUCGAAAACGACUGCUGACAGAAAGUUAGUUUUUUACUGACAAUCACCCGAACAGCUAUUAAAAUGGCAAAAGGUCGA